rnacentral:lncRNA from 1 species
UCCUCUGGGAUCUGUGUAGUGGGGCUUGUCUUUGAUCUUCCUUUUCUCCUGCCCUUGGAGACCAAAUGGAUUUUUGCACGUGGCAAAUGCACAGAACUGUGGGGCUCAGAACUGCUGUGCUGAUCAGAGAGAAUUUCCCUGAAAGAGGGACAGCGCGAUCCGUGCGAGGCUCCCAUCCAUCUGGUGAGGCACAGACAGCAGCUGACAUUGGGGCAGGCCUGUAA